rnacentral:rRNA from 1 species
UACGGAGGGGGCUAGCGUUGUUCGGAAUUACUGGGCGUAAAGAGCUCGUAGGCGGUCUGUUGCGUCCGCUGUGAAAACCCGGGGCUUAACCCCUGGCUUGCAGUGGAUACGGACAGACUAGAGGUAGGUAGGGGAGAAUGGAAUUCCCGGUGUAGCGGUGAAAUGCGCAGAUAUCGGGAGGAACACCGGUGGCGAAGGCGGUUCUCUGGGCCUUACCUGACGCUGAGGAGCGAAAGCGUGGGGAGCGAACAGG